UCACUUCCUGAUACAGGGGCAUAGGAGACAGGAGAUGGAGCUAUGGAUUGAUGACUCUCUCCAUUGUUAAUCCAGCGGACAUUAAAGACUGUCGGCAGCUUGAGUUCCAGAUGUUUGCCUUGAGCUGCCCGUCGUCAGGAAGCAGGAUUGGCCUCGCGUUUCAACCAGCGAGCCUGAGCAUGCGGGACAAAGUCUAAUAAAUGUACUAAAGCAGAGUAACCUACAGGCAAAGAACGAACCCCAGAUGGAGCUUCCAGUUAUGGCCAAUACAAAGACCGCUACAUCCAGGCAGAAGUAGGAAUACCAAGGCAGGCUGAAACCUGCGGACUGCAGGUGGGCGGCUCCUUUGUUCCUGAUGACGUACUCUAUCCAGAAGAUGGCUGUGUCCAUUGGAGAC